rnacentral:rRNA from 1 species
AUGGCAGUGAAAGGAGUCCUGCAGCUCUUCGGACGCGCGUCGGGCCUCCAGGUGAACUUCCUGAAGAGCUCUGCCACACUCAUCUGCUGCGACGCCGACGACAUGGCGCCCAUCAUCGCGCACUUGGCUGCCCCAUCGUGGACCUGCCUAUCACAUAUCUUGGCAUCCCGCUCACGAUCAAGCGCCCAUCCGCUGCCCUGCUCCAACCGGUGGUUGACAAAACUGCUGGCAUGCUGCCUACCUGGAAGGCGUGCCUCAUGA